UAAUACAUGCAAGUCGAGGGGUAACGAUGGACUUCGGUCCAGGCGACGACCGGCGCACGGGUGAGUAACGCGUACACAACCUACCUUCAAGAGGGGGAUAGCCUCGGGAAACUGAGAUUAAUACCCCAUGUGAUUAACUUAUAAUAUGAUUGGUUAAUUAAAGAUCCGUCGCUUGAAGAUGGGUGUGCGUCCCAUUAUGUAGUUGGUGAGGUAACGGCUCACCAAGCCGACGAUGGGUAGGGGGCGUGAGAGCGUGGCCCCCCACACGGGUACUGAGACACGGACCCGACUCCUACGGGAGGCAGCAGUAAGGAAUAUUGGACAAUGGAGGAAACUCUGAUCCAGCUAUCCCGCGUGCAGGAUGACAGCCCUACGGGUUGUAAACUGCUUUUAGUAGGGACGAAACCCCGGUAUUUAUACCGGGCUGACGGUACCUACAGAAUAAGCACCGGCUAACUCCGUGCCAGCAGCCGCGGUAAUACGGAGGGUGCAAGCGUUAUCCGGAAUCACUGGGUUUAAAGGGUGCGUAGGUGGCUUGGUAAGUCAGAGGUGAAAGCCCACCGCUUAACGGUGGAACUGCCUUUGAUACUGUCA
rnacentral:rRNA from 1 species